CAGCUGGCUUUAGUCCAGUGGUUCCUUCAAGUUUGGCUUCCCAAAUGCCCGGGCCAAUUGGUCCAGUGGUUCGAGAACCGCGGGCACUCUCCAGUCCUUUA
ensembl:misc_RNA Vault Vault RNA